AUGUGAAAAUCAAGGAGAAAGAGUAUUGGGGCAUGGAGAUAUAAUAGACACAAGACUAAGUGUCUGGGUUAGAGCAAAGAGAAGAAGAAGAGAAUCUUCUUCUAGGGUUGCUAAGUUCACCUCUUCUCUUCCUCCAUUUGUGAGUUUUUUAAGAAUGUCUCACAUCUAAAAUUUUUUCUCCUACUUCUCAUCUUUGAAAGAGUCCAAAUCAAGAAGGAGGCAUCUGAUCGACCAUCGA
rnacentral:lncRNA from 1 species